GUGCUCACUUUGACAGUACAUAUGCUAAAAUUAGAAUGCUAUAGAGAAGAUUAGCAUGGUCCCUGCAUAAGAUAUGCAAAUUAAUGCUCCACGUUUUA
ensembl:snRNA U6 U6 spliceosomal RNA